rnacentral:rRNA from 1 species
ACCCGACCUUAGUUGCCAGCAUUCAGUUGGGCACUCUAAGGUGACUGCCGGCUAAAAGUCGGAGGAAGGUGGGGAUGACGUCAAAUCAUCAUGCCCCUUAUGACCUGGGCUACACACGUGCUACAAUGGGCGGUACAAAGGGUCGCGAACCCGCGAGGGGGAGCCAAUCCCAAAAAGCCGCUCUCAGUUCGGAUUGCAGGCUGCAACUCGCCUGCAUGAAGCCGGAAUCGCUAGUAAUCGCGGAUCAGCAUGCCGCGGUGAAUACGUUCCCGGGCCUU